ensembl:lncRNA novel transcript, sense overlapping OR52B2
AAAGGGAACUCCCUGACCCCUUGCGCUUCCCAAGUGAGGCAAUGCCUCGCCCUGCUUCGGCUCGCGCACGGUGCGUGCACCCACUGACCCGCACCCACUGUCUUGCACUCCCUAGUGAGAUGAACCCGGUACCUCAGAUGGAAAUGCAGAAAUCACCCAUCUUCUCCGUCGCUCACGCUGGGAGCUGUAGACCGGAGCUGUUUCUAUUCGGCCAUCUUGGCUCCUCAAGAAAAUUUUAAUAAUCUUUUCAUCCUGUCCUCUCUCCAGCCUCUCCUCUACUACCAAGAUGAUCAGUUGCUUCCAUUUGAAUCACUGUCAAGAAAGAAUGAAGCAGCCAAUUCUUUUGGAGGAAGUUGAUAGUCUCUUUUUGGGUGUGUGACAGACAGCACAAUGAUACCUGUGUGGAAGAGGAUGAGGAUGAGGUGGGAGCUACAAGUGCUCAGAGCCUUGGACAUUGCUUCUGCUGAGUUCAGCCUCAGCACAGAGUGAAGGAUUACAGCAUAGGAAGAAAAUACCAGAGCCAUAUCACUCCCAACCAAGACCCAUGCUAGCAUCAGUUGGUAAAAUUUGUUCACAGUGAUGUCAUCACAAGCCAGGCUGAUAACCCCCAAGUUAGAGCAGAGGCAGUGCUCGAUUUCAUUCCUGGAACAGUAGUGUCUCUGGGCAGCCAGUAUAGGCACUGGGAUGGUCAACAGGCCAUUCCUGAGCAUGAUGAACCCUGUGGCUUUGAAGACAAAAGCUUUAGUGACUAUGGAGGGGUACUGAAGAGGGCGACAGAUGGCUAUGUAUCUGUCUACUGCCAUGCAGAGAAAGAUG